AUCAAUACUGCUGUAAUAGUAGCUGCAGAUGCAAGAGAAGCUCGAGACAUUGCACCCCCUGUGGUAUUGGUUGUUGAAGCAAUAUGGGUUUCUUACCUUAUGGCCCAGCAAUGGGGUGAUCUGGAUUUUGAUGGUCGGUUGUAUUUGUUGGUACCAUCGGCUCUUAUCUUUGCCAAAUUAUUUUUGAAGUAUUAUUCAUGGUAUGAGGCCAGAAAAUCAUUAGCACUUGGACGCAAUCCUCGUCUUAUUGUUGGAUACAUGGGGCAGAUACAAGAUAGAAUCCAGCAUGCCGAGCCAGCAAGUGAGCACAUACCUCCCGCACUUAUAGUUACGGGAGAGGACACUGAAUCAGUAGAGAAACAGCCUCAUGGUUAUAGCUUCAAAGGGAUAUCCAAUGGAAGAGAUGGGACAAGAAUAAACAAGAAUGGCUUAGUGACUUUGGAGAAAGCUUGGCAGAUAUGUGACAUGCUUCCCAGCUCAAUAGCACAUCAUCUCCAAGAUGUAUGCUUUUCGUUCUCAUUGUUCAAGCUUCUACGAUGUGGAUUUGCAAGGUACACAAUUGCUGAUGCUGCCUUCAUGAAGGCUCAUAACUUUUUACGGCAUAUAUUGCUCGAGAAGAGAGAUGAUGAGAGGGUACUUGGGGUGAUUGCAUAUGAGCUUACUUUUCUUCAUGAUUAUUAUUAUUCUGCCCUCGCAGUCUCGUAUUCCAAGAGUUGGCCACCCGUAUUGAGUAUAUUUAUUUCACUAUUAAGCACCUGUUACUGCUUAUUUUGGAUAGUUCGUUUCAUAGUGGGAGAGCUUGUGGAUGAUUUCAGGCAAGGAUUUUCUGUUAUACCACAGUUGGUAUGUGUCAAUAAGUGCAACACAGAAGGCAAUCAAAAGACAAAGUUUGGAAGUGAACUCUUUGAACUGCUGCCAGUGUGCUCGCUUCUUGCUCUAGUUUUGCUUACUGAGGUGAGGGAGAUUGCUUCUUACAUCUGCUCUAACUGGACAAAAGUAUCCCUUAUUCGCCUCUAUAGAAACCAUGCUUCAUGGCAACAAUCUCCUGCCAUGAAGAAAUGGGUUGGCCAUCUAUUGAAGUGCAAAUGCGAGAUGUUGAAGCAUUGGGAAGACAAAAUGAACCUGUGCUCAAUCAUAGUGCUACAUCCAAGGAAAAUUCCACUGGCUCCACUUUGCGGUCUCAUUCCUGUUCCCGACAAAAAGAAGAAGAUACCAAGAGAGGUGAAGGUUGCUAUUGUGCAAUCAUUGAGAAAGCAUGUGCGAGCCGGAAACAAUGGCAUGAUAACAUCUUUGUGCAAGAGCCCGCAGCUACAAGUCGGCGACAACCUGCUUUGGACGUUCAAUGGAGCCAAUGGUACAGCAGACAUCAUGCUUGUGUGUCACAUCGCCACCAGCAUCCUUGAAGUAAGAUCAGACCCACAGCUUCCUCCCUCUGACCACAAGAUUAUUGCUACUCACCUGUCACGGUAUUGCGCCUACCUGGUGGCCCACUGUCCUGAGCUACUCCCCGACUUCGAGCGCUGGUGUAAGAGCAUGUACAAAGCCGUCAAGAAGGAAGCAGAGCUCAUCCUCGUCAGUGCUAUCAGGCCUGAAGCAACGCCCCAAGUGAAGUACCAGAAGCUAUUCGAGCAGCUGAGCACAAGAUCAGAGCAUGAAGUGCUCAAGAAUGGCGCGGAGCUCGGGAGGCUGCUGGUGGAGCUGCCCGAAGGAGAGGAGAAGGCAUGGGAGCUCCUCGCCGGCUUCUGGGCGGAGAUGCUCAUGUACGUCGCUCCAUCGGACAACCUUAAUGGGCACGCGGAGGCCAUCGCCCGUGGCGGCGAGCUGAUAACGCUCCUCUGGGCGUUGCUCGGCCACCUCGGGUGUGUCAGCAGGCCCGACGACGACGCAGCC
rnacentral:rRNA from 1 species